AAGUGGUAACAGGUAGUAGCUCUGGUAGAGU
rnacentral:sRNA from 1 species